AAAAAAAAACUCUAAACGAGAUUUCGGGUUAGUUUUUAUUCAAAUGAAAUAGCAUUUCCAUUAUUUUUUUACGCUUCGCGGGCGUUAGAGCGAUGAUUUCGGCGCAAAUAAUUGCUUAUGAGUUUCCCAUGUUCCAAGAAUUGCUGGAGUACGCUUCGCUUUUUAAAUAACCUCACAACAAAUAUGUAUUUAAGGGAAGUCAAAUCUGAAGAUUUAGGCGACCAGUGAAGUGUGACAUGAGCGUUGUCUCAUUGGAACCAACAACGUGCAACACCUUUCUCGGUUAAUUUUUGAGCAGGCAUAAACAGCUAACACUCACCGAUAGCGAUUUGGUUUUGUAAAAAAAAAA